rfam:Monosiga brevicollis mitochondrion, complete genome.
AUACCUAUCAUAUAAUGGUAAUAUAGUUAAUUUCGACUUAAUAAAUGAGGGUUCGAUUCCCUCUAGGUAUU